UUCUCCCUAAAAGCACUUGCUUUGCCUGUUCUCAGUGGCUCAGUGAGUUGUCGAGGGGAGGCAAAGGAACACGUUGCUUUUGGGUGAGGUGGCAGCUGCCAUGUGCUGUUUAAUCUCAAUCAGUAAUGUGACAUUU